UACGUAGGUGGCAAGCGUUGUCCGGAUUUACUGGGUGUAAAGGGCGUGCAGCCGGGAGUGCAAGUUAGAUGUGAAAUCCCGCGGCUCAACCGCGGAACUGCAUUUGAAACUGUGCUUCUUGAGUGCUGGAGAGGCAGACGGAAUUCCUAGUGUAGCGGUGAAAUGCGUAGAUAUUAGGAGGAACACCAGUGGCGAAGGCGGUCUGCUGGACAGUAACUGACGGUGAGGCGCGAAAGCGUGGGGAGCAAACAGG
rnacentral:rRNA from 1 species